UACGUAGGGCGCAAGCGUUGUCCGGAAUUAUUGGGCGUAAAGAGCUCGUAGGCGGUUUGUCGCGUCUGCCGUGAAAACCCGAGGCUUAACCUCGUGGCUUGCGGUGGAUACGGGCAGACUAGAGGUAGGUAGGGGAGAAUGGAAUUCCCGGUGUAGCGGUGAAAUGCGCAGAUAUCGGGAGGAACACCGGUGGCGAAGGCGGAUCUCUGGGCCUUACCUGACGCUGAGGCGCGAAAGCUAGGGGAGCGAACAGG
rnacentral:rRNA from 1 species